UCCACCUGCACCUCACCCCCUCGUCUCUUCUGUGCGUAUUCAAGCCCUGUUUUCAGCUCAAAUCUGUUGUGUUCCCCUGAUGAUCCUUGGUGUUUGCUGCUCCACCGUCUCUGCUCUCUUUGUGACAAGCACAGUGGCCACGUCCGGGCUAGAACACCCCACUGUGAACGGUGACACUCCAAAGAUCCUCCUUCGACUGUUUCUGGCUCCGCACGUGAGGCUUUGGGAAUGUCAACAGAAGGCUGCAGAUAACAAGAUGGAAAAUAGGAAAUGUCAGAGAUGACAGAGCUGCUUAAAAGGCAGCUCCUGGAUGGAGAUCAAUAGCCCGGACUCCAGCAACUCCAAACAGCAGGGAAACGUCUAGUGAAAAGAGACAUGUAAAUAGCAGAGAAAAAUCCCAUAAUCUUCUGCGCCGGCUCAAAGGGGCUGCUGUCUGACAUCUAGGAUGCUGAUGGUUUUAAAGACGACUGGUUACAGAUUGGAUCAGCGUGCUGCUCAGUGGAUCGAUUUAGAUAGAUGAAGUGCUCAUGUCGGAGCAUCAUUUGAUCUCAAGACAUGCAAACCAAUCUCCUCUGUCUACAGCCUUUGGCCCCUUUUGUCCUGUGUCAGUGAAAAGAUCUUUGUACUCGCAGAUCAAUCAAGAAGCGAUGAAAUUCCAACAGGGAUCCCUAUAUUUAUGCCGCUUGCAACCUCGAACGCAGCAGCACACAGCUGGGCAACAGUGUCACGUGGUAAUGGCUGUGCUGUACACCUGCACAAACAUGAUUGGAUAUUACUGGUCUGUACUACGAGCCUGUGAUUGUGGAGGAAAUAAAUGAAAGCUAGACUUCAGA